CCUCCCCCCCGGGCCCCUCCCCUAGAUCCAUCACUGAUUAAACUGGAGACUUAAUAUACAACUCUGGAGUAAUUGAAACUUAACAGUCCUUGGAAUGUUCACUUUAAUUUAUGUGGCCUUUCUGUUAUCAUGUCCAGCAAGAGUCCAGAUCGUAACUUGAUCAGCUCUACACAUUGAGGCAGGGAUUAUAGUACUGUUUGUAAUUGACCUCUUCAGUAGUGGUUGUCUGUCCUCACUGGCUGAAAAAAAAAUGGACAAAAUGCAGUCAGUGGAAUAUUAAACUCAGGCGAUGUCAUGAAAGGAACUUGGUCAGCUUCAUUGCACUGGUACAGUCAUGUAGUAUUAUGGGCAAGGAACUUUGGAAAUGCAGACAUCUUGGACAACUGUAUAUGUUGCGCUAAAGAGUAAUUAAGGAAAGAGUCCAGACAUUUUAACUGUCAAGUUUUUCGGGACAGAUGAAAAUCCCAAGGCUGCUUGUCGAGCGUGCUAGACUGCUCUACACGGGAAUUGUAACCCUCAAUAUCUCUGCAGCUGGCUGUCCAACCUGACUGCUCACUUUGGGUGUAAUCAUGCAGGCCCACUGUGACGUUUCUGCCGCACUCAGUACUGGGCACUAGAGAAAAGGAACUUUGUAGCACUUGAUCAUUCACUGGUAUUCUAGUAUGAUUCUAAUUACAUUUUAUAGAGGGUUUUUUGCAAUUUAGUCUCUAAAGUAAUCAGGCCAUUACUUUGGUUUUGGUUUAGCUAUGGUUUGAAACGGGCUAAGUGGUCUCAUUGGUUAAUGAUUGGUUUGGUUCUGGGUUUACGACGCUCAAUUGAAAAUUACUCUAUUGUGAAUUGGACUUCAAUCUCAUUGAAGACUGAAUUUUUAGACAAUGAUCUCUUAUUUCCUGGAAUCCUCCUAUACUUACGUACAGGUUGCAUUUUAAUGCCUUUUAGUAAAUUUUUAUAUUAAAAUGAGUUGAUUCGUUAAAGUUUCUUCUACUUAGAUUCAGAAACUUAUUUUAUUUUAACUUAAGUCUCCAUUUUCUUCAAAGAAGCAAAUAAUCUGUAGAGGUCUUGAAAACCCACAAGUCACAUAAUGUUGGAAUCCUUCCUUACCUUUCUUCAUUUACCAUCAGUAAAGUUCAAAAUUAAUGCUUUUCCUUUACCACAUCAGAAUUUAUUUUACUCUCAUACAAGCAUGUCAAUUUCUAGUUUCUCAGCAGAAAGGAAAUGAAGUUGUAGUCCAUUCUUCACCCCUCAAUGGCCAUUACAAACUGGUCGCAAGUUUGCAUCUCAUCAACGUCUGAAUUCUAAAGGAUUCUUCCUUUCAAAAUAAUUUUGCUAAAUGUUAUUUUUUAAGUUGCAAAAUGUUAAUCCUUUACUGCAUUGAUAUUUCUUAAGCUGAAAAAUAUUUUGUCUUAGUGGCCAUUGGUUUGAAUCCCACCAAGACCUAAAAUUUAAAGGCUUUAUACUCAUUUGAUAUUUCUAAGUUGAAAAAUAUUUUGUCUUGGAGGUCAUGGGUUUGAAUCCCAUCAAAGCCAGAAUUUUGUACACU